GCCAGGCACAGUGAUGCAUGCCUGUAAUCCCAGCUACUUAGGAGGCUGAGGCAGGAGGAUCACAAGUUCAAGGCCAGCCUAUACAAUUUAGCUAGACUCUGUCUCAA
rnacentral:sRNA from 1 species